rnacentral:lncRNA from 1 species
GGCGCGGAGGGGCGGCGGCCGGGGAGGCGGCGGCGGCGGCAGGAUUCCCAGGAGCCAUGUUGUCAGAAGUCCUACUGGUGUCUGCUCCGGGGAAAGUCAUCCUUCAUGGAGAACAUGCCGUGGUACAUGGCAAGGUAGCACUGGCUGUAUCCUUGAACUUGAGAACAUUCCUCCGGCUUCAACCCCACAGCAAUGGGAAAGUGGACCUCAGCUUACCCAACAUUGGUAUCAAGCGGGCCUGGGAUGUGGCCAGGCUUCAGUCACUGGACACAAGCUUUCUGGGUGGACCAAGGAGGAUUUGGAGCUAAUUAACAAGUGGGCCUUCCAAGGGGAGAGAAUGAUUCACGGGAACCCCUCCGGAGUGGACAAUGCUGUCAGCACCUGGGGAGGAGCCCUCCGAUACCAUCAAGGGAAGAUUUCAUCCUUAAAGAGGUAACCUGGGGGUGGAGCAGCACAUUCAGCCAUGGCUGCAUUGAUGUGUGCAGGGGGCAGAGCUCUGCACCUUUGGGAAGUACCAUAGGAGGCAGGUGUCCCUGGCUCUUCAUCCCCCAAUGUGGCCCUCACAGUGCACUAGCUGCAAGGAAGCAGGGGUGGUGGGGAAGACCUGCUCUCUCCUUCUCCCCUUCAGCUCUUAAAUUGCAGAGAUAUCAGAAAGGGAAAGUCAUGCAUGGCUGUGCCCGUAGACUCUCAGCUGCUCAUUCA